GAUGAAGAACGCAGCGAAAUGCGAUAAGUAAUGCGAAUUGCAGAAUUCAGUGAAUCAUCGAAUCUUUGAACGCACAUUGCGCCCGCUGGUAUUCCGGCGGGCAUGCCUGUUCGAGCGUCAUUUCAACCCUCAAGCCCCCCGGGUUUGGUGUUGGGGAUCGGCUCUGCCUCACGGCGGUGCCGCCCCCGAAAUACAUUGGCGGUCUCGCUGCAGCCUCCAUUGCGUAGUAGCUAACACCUCGCAACUGGAACGCGGCGCGGCCAUGCCGUAAAACCCCAACUUCUGAAUGUUGACCUCAGAUCAGGUAGGAAUACCCGCUGAACUUAAGCAUAUCAAUAAGCGGAGGA
rnacentral:misc_RNA from 1 species